rnacentral:rRNA from 1 species
UACGGAGGGGGCUAGCGUUGUUCGGAAUUACUGGGCGUAAAGCGCACGUAGGCGGCUUUGCAAGUCAGAGGUGAAAGCCCGGGGCUCAACCCCGGAACUGCCUUUGAGACUGCAUCGCUAGAAUUGUGGAGAGGUAAGUGGAAUUCCGAGUGUAGAGGUGAAAUUCGUAGAUAUUCGGAAGAACACCAGUGGCGAAGGCGACUUACUGGACACAUAUUGACGCUGAGGUGCGAAAGCGUGGGGAGCAAACAGG